rnacentral:rRNA from 1 species
AUAUAUCGGUUAUGGAUGAGCUUGCGGGGUAUUAGGUAGUUGGUGUGGUAAUGGCGCACCAAGCCCAAGAUGCCUAGCCGGUUUGAGAGAACGAUCGGCCACACUGGGACUGAGACACGGCCCAGACGCUUACGAGCGGCAGCAGUGGGGAAUAUUGGACAAUGGGCGAAAGCCUGAUCCAGUGAUAUCGCUUUGGGGAUGACGGCGACAUACGUUGUAAACCCAAUGAAGUACGUUUAGAUUAUGACCGUACGUAUUUUAGAAGUCCCGGC